AUUUUUUUAGUAUAAUAAGUAUAUCUGACUUCCAAUCAGAAGGUCUAAGUUUUAGAAAAAAUA
rnacentral:tRNA from 1 species